rnacentral:misc_RNA from 1 species
GAUGAAGAACGUAGCGAAAUGCGAUACGUAAUGUGAAUUGCAGAAUUCAGUGAAUCAUCGAGUCUUUGAACGCACAUUGCGCCCCUUGGUAUUCCAUGGGGCAUGCCUGUUCGAGCGUCAUUUGUACCUUCAAGCCUUGCUUGGUGUUGGGUGUUUGUCUCGCCUCUGCGCGCAGACUCGCCUCAAAACAAUUGGCAGCCGGCGUAUUGAUUUCGGAGCGCAGUACAUCUCGCGCUUUGCACUCAGAACGACGACGUCCAAAAGUACAUUUUUACACUCUUGACCUCGGAUCAGGUAGGGAUACCCGCUGAACUUAAGCAUAUCAAUAAGCGGAGGA